ensembl:lncRNA
CUAGGAUAAUUGUAUUCAAUCCUCUUUUGAGGAACUAAAGUCCACAGAAUGCAAGUGAUUUCCCUAAGAUCACACUGUUAUUAAGUGGCAGAACUAGGAUAUAAAUAAACUAUCUAAACUCUAAAUUUUAUCAUGUUUCCGCUGUACCAACAAGAACUCCUUUGCUCUGCUGGCUUUGCAAUCCUGAGGGCAGUACAUAGUGCAUCACAAAUGAAAUCAAGGUUGGAUCCACAAAACAGACUAUAGUAUUGCAAGGCUUUUUCUAACAGAGUUUUCAAUUUUAAAGUCUGUGAAUCUCCACGUUUGAGGCUAGCUGCAUAGGUUAUCUCUCUUGUCUCACUGAGAAAGUGAUGAAGGACCCGUCCGUGGACAUUUCUCUCUUGUGCUUAAUGACCUCAUCUGAAGCAGAGAUCUGCCAACCAUCUCAGGUGAGUCAAGCCUGGAAAGUAUGGAAUUGCAUAAAACCUUCUUUCCUGAAAUAUACUUCUUUGACAGGGUUAAAAUCAGAAGCAGAAUUACCUCAUUUUAUCUUGAAAUAGUUAGAAAUGCCUUCAAGAAAUGGAAAGAGACCAUUGCAAUCUUCACAUUUAGUGCUACUUGAAAUUUUCCCCUGGCAAUCCUGUGUUCUAGUAUACAACACAGCAUAUUCAAAAUAGUUGUGAGAGAACAGCUGUACUGAUCAGACGCAGAUUUUAAAAGUGGAUGAAAUAGCAGUAUUGUGUCAUCAAAUCUUCCAGCCCCAGGAGCAAGUGAUAAGACAUGCUCUUUUUUUUUUAUUUUUUCCAUUUGCAGGUGCAAUCAUUUACAACUAAAUGGCAGGAAUGUCUCUCACACAAGCAGUUAAUAUGCACUAGAAUUUUUCCAGUAACCAGAUGGCAUGCAUUUCAUACCAAGCUUGUUGAAAUAAGAACUGAAAUCAUCUGCCAAUAAGUUGCAUGGAAGUUUUCCACAGUCUCCUUAGGUGACCUCAUUUAAGAUUUUGAAUUUUUUUGAGGUCAGAAAGCUUAUAAAUAUUCACUUCUUGGUGACUCACUUUCAGAGCCGUGGUGGAGUAAUUAUAGAAUAAUUCUAGUUAGCCAUCAUUGAAAAUAUUCUGACUUUAGCUCAUGUUAGGUUAUGCUUUUUUUUUUUUCUUAUUUCCUUCUGCUUGUUUUCAGUACAGCCCUAACUCAAGGUGCCACCUUAAGAAAAGCAGAGGAGUCUACAAAGCCGUGGUCAAUGUUAUUCUCUUUGACUAGAGACAUUACCACUGUCCAUUCUAUGGGGAGUCAUUGGUACCAUCUGCCAAUGUCUGGUUUGCAUCUCCAGCUGAAAGUCUCGUGAUUAGGUGGGACCAUGUGACUAGAUCGGGCCAAAGAGUUGCGAGUAGAAGGGACAUAUGUCGCUUCUGAGCCAAAACACAUAGUUGACAAUGCAAGAUUGUGCAGAGCUCCUUUCUAUCUACUGAUACCUGUCAAUACUCGAGACAGUGGAUGUUCCAUCAACCUGGGACCCAAAGUGAGGACACAUGAGCGGAAUGCCAGCCAAAGGACAUGCAGUGAGUGAAAACUUGUGUUAAUCCAUUAAGGUUUGAAUGUUGUUUGUUACUGUGACUUAAAUGGCUUAUUUUGAUUGAAACACUUAACCAUUCUGGUUUUUUGUUAGUUGUUUAUUUAAUUUCUAAUUUCUUAAAUAGAAGCUUUUUUAGAUGUUGCCACUAUUUUCUGAAUAUUCCUUCACUUCUAAUAGGUUAAUAUGGCUUCUAUCACACUGAAGUUUACAAAAUCUUGCAAUCUGGUCUGUUACUCCUGUCUUCUUUUGUGCUAUUUGACUUUCCGUUGCAUCUCAUAUCAGUGAUCGUGACUUCCAUCCUGAAAUUCCCACAGCUUCCAUUGCCCUCAACUUCUCUGCCUCUCCUCCUUUCUCUCAGAUCCUCUCCUAUUUUCUACAUUGAUUCUUAUUCUGUUGCCCAAGGCUCAGUCCUGGCAGGAUAGGGUGAUGAAAACAGUCCAGACUAGGAAAUGAGAUGACCUAGGUUUAAAUUCCAGCUUGACUACUUGUUAGCUAUGUGACCCUGAGACAGUCACUUAACCUCUUUAAGUCUCAAUUUCUAAUUCAGUAAAAUAGAGAUAAUAAUAGCUAACUCGCAACAUUGUCAUAAGAAUUAGCAUAUAAUGAAUAUAAAAUGCCUAGCUCAUAGUAGGGACUAAAUAAUGAUGAUACUGAUUUUUAUGAAAUUCAUAUGUCUCUAAUCUCUCUAGGUUUAAGAAUGUAAUAUUUGUCUUUAAACAGGGUGGCCGCAUUAUAGAAUCCUAGAGGGUACCACUCACAUUGCAUUCUAAAUACUGGCUCCCUCUGAAGCACAGUGCAAUGUAAAUGCUGCCUUUGGAAUCGUGAUAUUGUAGCAUACCAUUGCAAAAGUCUAAAAAAGAAAUCCCGAAUAAUUGUCUUAGAUGGUGUCCCACUAAUGGCGGGAAAUCCAGUCCUCUGUUGCUUUCCCCUUCUCAUAUCAUUUCUGGGAAUCCUUGGUAAUGUUUAACAAGUUACACAAAUCCAUGAUGGCCGUUGCUUUGAUGGUCUAAACAAUUCUGUCCACAGAGUCCUGCAGAUCCUUUCUCACCAUCUCGUAACUAGUUACUACAGGCUGAUAUUGCUUGGCCUAUACCCAUAUUAUUCCCCCAUGUAAAGCUAAGACAUUCUGUGCUGUUUAACCUACUCCUCCAGAAGGCUUGGGAAUGACCUCAGAACAUCUUGAAGAAUAGCAAUGGAAUUGGCUCCAAGAAGAGGCUGGUCUCAGGGCCCACUGUUCCAACCCAGCACUUAGGAGGCUUUCACAUAACUCAGCAUCAGCUUGGAAUCUCUUAGGACCCCGAGAAAAGCUAAGUCAUUUCCUACCCCAUGCCAAGUCCUCUUUCGUGCAGGAGGAUGAUUAACAGAGGACGACAGAAUUGAUCAAGCUGCAGUAUCAGAUGGCACGGAUAUGCACCUCAGAUCCACUACUUAUUAACUGGGUGACUAUAGGAAAGUCACUGCAACUCCUUGUGCCUCGGGUUUUUCAUAACUAAAAUGAGGUUAAUGGUAGCAUCCGUAUCACAGGGUCGUUAAGGAGGUUGACUGAGAUAGUAUACAUGAAGGACUUGGUAGAGUGCCUGCCUAUUACAAGCACUCCUUACAUAUCAGGAAUUAUCGUUAUUAUUACUGAUCAAAACCUAUCAUCUGUAGAGAACCUAUUCCGUGCCAACCACAGUGUUAAGAACUUUACAUAUGUUUGACCCUGGGAGGUAAAUGCCAUUGUUUAUAUUAUUGCAGAUACAGAAAAGAAAUUAAGCGGUUUUUGCAAGGUCAGAGUUGAGAUUGGAAAACAAACCCAUCUGCUUAAACUUUCCCCAUUGCCCUGAAAAUGCAAUCACAAAAUCCAGGAGUCCCUCCCAAAGUUCAAUAUAGUUUAUUCCAAAUUACAGUGUAUUGGGGGCACAAGCAAAUCAUCCAGGUGAAGAUUCCAGCACUGCUUGUUCAACCUCUUGCUACCAGAAUAAGAAGAUACACCUUUCACCUAUCUAGCUGGUCUGUAAGCCUGAUUUCCUGUGGCCUCCAGUUGAGAACACAGUCGUGCACACACACACACACACACACACACACACAUCUCUUCUCAAACUGCAACUUUUCAGAGAUAUGGAAAUAUACAUCCAUAUUUAAGAAAAAGAUCUCUGCUCAACAGCCCAGUAGAUGUUACUAAGCAGAGGACUUAGUAAAUCAAGUCUGAAGGAAGCCUGCGAAAACCACUAUGUACUUAGCUUGUAGCCACUGGACUGACGAGCAGUGCAAAGUGACCUCUCCCAGAAAGGAAAAGAAAAAUCAAUUAUCAACUUCUACCGUAAAAUGUAGAAACUUCCUGUACCCCCUAAAAUGGCAAUGUUUUACGUAUUUUCAUGAUCCAGUCUCCACUGACCUGUCUCUCCUACUUACUUGAAAAUACAAUCCACACUUUUAACAUCAAGUAUCACCACCAUAUUGCUGACUCCUAAAGGAAAAACUCUUGUCUAAGCCCUUCAGCCAAGUUCUGGUUGCACACGGUCUGCUUCCUCCAGGACAACUCCAUUUGGAGGCCCAACUAGCGACUAGGAACUGCAGGUAUAGGGGAGACAGUAUCAUACACUGAUUCAAAGGGCCGCUUUAGAAUCAUCCAGCUUGACUUGAAUCCAGGUCUUACCAUGUAUAGCCCUGUGACCUUGGGCAACUUAUAUAACCUGAAGACUCAGUUUCCUCAGCAGCAAAAUGGGACUAGUAAUAGAGACUAUAUCACAGGGCUGUGAGAAAGAAAGAAUACACGUAAGGCAUAGCAGAAUAUCUGGCACGUUGUGUGUGUCUAAUAAAAAUGUUUAUAUUGUUUUUUACAUUAUUAUCAUUAUGCACAAAUUAAAUUUAUCUCUGUUAUUCACAUGUAAAUUUCUAUUCAGCACAAUGGUAAUUUUUCCUCAGGAUCAAAACUUUAGAGGUUUCUUUAACAUUCUCUGUUGUUCAUAUAUCACUUAAAUUCUUUAUAGAAUGACAGGGGGUAUUAAUGAAUAAAUUGAAUAAUUAUGAAUGAAUGACUGGAUGAAUACAAUCACCAAGUGCUGAUUUCUUUCAAAACUUUCUCUCACUCUUUCUUCCUGCUCUCAAGACCCUGGCUUGCACUUGUGCCUUCCAGCACACAAUCACCUCCAUGAAGCACCCCAACUGAACACUCAGCCUCUAGGCUUUGCCCCUACAAUUCAGUGUCUAAUCAAGCUCUCGAAGACACUGUUUCAAUCUAUCACCUACAAUGGCGCUCGAUUUCCCUGUCUGAUUUUAGUCCAAACUGCUCUUUUUGGCACUGAAAGAUCAGCAGCAGCAGGCCCCUCCCCCUCAUCUGAUCUCUUAGAGCUCCCAGCCUCGGGUCCACGCCUCUACCACAUGCCAAAUGCAUUGGACGUCAUCCUGCCUCUGCCUCAGCCACCUGGAUUCCCUCAAGCUUUUUAAAACACAAAUCUAAUUGCUUCUCUAUACUUCAUCCUGCAAUAGCUCCUUUGCCUUUAGAGUAAAACACAAUCUCUUUAUGGACAUGUUUAUAGAGCCAACCAUGUUUCAAGCAUUGUGCUGGGGAAAGAUGAACAAGAUACAGUUCUGGCUCACAGCCUUACAACAAGAUGUAAAAAUGUCCUCUGAACUUGGUCCCUGCCUGCCUCUGGCUCAUUUGCCACUCUUUGCGUGUAUCUUUUUCCUCAGCUUUAUUUAAUUAAUCACCAGCAGUUCUCCAAAUGCGCCUUGCUCCCUCACCUUCCCUGGAAGAUUUCCUGACAUCCACUCCACCUCUGUCUAGUGUGGGCGUUCCUACAGCAUUGUGUAAUGGCUUCUUUCCUAACAUUGUAAUAUUGUCUAGGAGGUCUUCCCAACCAGACAGUCAACAGUAACUGAGCAAGUUAACUCCUGCGGUAGCUAGCACAUACCAUAAAACAUGGCAUGUUACUCUAGUCUGCUUAUUGACUCCUAUGUAAUGAUGUUUAGAUUCUCUUCUUCAGAAAGAAAAAGAGCCACGUGUCUGAAAAUUGUUGUAAGCCAUCCCUUCCUUGGCCUUCCUUUCUUAAGAGCAUUUACCUUCCCUUGCAGACCCCUCACAGCCUUUUCCCGCAGAGCUUGUGUUCCUACCCCUUGUUGUUCCUUAUUGCUCUCCUUUGGGCUCCUUCCGCCUGAUGGUUUAUGCUUCUCUUCUAUUUAGGAUUUACUACCCUGGAUCAUGUUUUCUGGCAUAUAAUUAAAUGACAGUUCAAUAGGCUCAGGGGUCAAACAAACUUGGUUUCAAAUUCCAGCUCUGCUGGGGUGAAGUGUAGAAGGCUACUUACUCUUAGGAACCUCAGAGUUUUCAUAUAGAAAGUGGGAUAAUAAAAGACUAUCUUACAGAAGUGUUGGAAUAAUUAAAGACACUCCACAUAAAACGCCACAGGAGCCAGGACUUGUCAGGAAACCUAAAUCUGCUUAUCUAUCUAUCUAUCUAUCAUCCAUAUAUCCAGUAAUGCUUUGUUAUUCAGCUCCUAGUUUUUAUCACAGUCAUUAUUAUAAAGGUCACAGAGCUUGGUUUUAAUUCCUUACACUCUUAGACAGACGACACCAACAGAACUGGCCACAACAAAGACACGCUCAGAGACUUUCCAAUCACUGAGCACAUGAAUAAAUUAUCAGAGCAUUCAACUUCCUCCUGCCUCUCAGCAGAGACCUGGUCUCCUGCUUCCCAGACACAAUAACGCCAUCAGACAGGUGCUCCCUCCCAAACCUCGGGCCUGCAGUGAGAGAAUGUGCCUCAAAGUCAGCACAAGAUUUCACCUCCUCCAGCCUUCUCAGAAACUUCUGCCAUCAGUUAACCCACAUACCCAUACUCUCUCUCUAAUAACUUUAGCCACUCACUCUACUGAAUCCUUCCCAUCAGAAGGAACUGUCACUUAGCUCUUUCCUGAGUCCUCAUACUGUGGCUGGUACGGACUAGUGGUGGCUUGGUAGGCAUUUGUGGUAUGAUUAAAUAAAUCAGAAUUCUUGUUUGCUGGAGAUUGACCUCCUCCACAAAGACAGUCCAGCUGCUGCUGAUCUUCUCUGAUUAUGAGGUUCUACCACAUUCAUGUGACCACAUCAUUCUAAAUCAGAUCAUGACAAUCUUCUCUUCAAACCUUUAAAAGCCUUCGUGUUUCAUUCGGAGUAGACACCAACACCCUUACAAUGGCUAUGAGGCCUCCAAAGAUGCUCCUGCCUCAGGGCACGUGUACCUGCUCUUCCUUCUACCUAGAAUGACUGUCCCCCCGAAUAUCUGCUCAGCUUCCCCCUCACCUCUUCCCAAUUCUUGCUCUGCUCUACUGACAACUUCUCAGUGAGCCCACCACCACCAUCAUCACUCUCCCUAGCCCUCUUUCCUGCUUUAUUUUCCAUCAUAAUGCUUAUCACCAUCUAACAUAUCAUCUCUUUUAUUGAUUUAUUAUUUAUUUAUUGUCUUUCACAUAUGGCCAAACAUAAGCUUUAUAGACAGGUACUUUUGCCCAUUUUAUUCCUGGCUUUAUCUCCACCACUUAGAAUAGUGCCUGACACAUCGUUGGUGCUCAAUAUAUAUUUGUUGAAUGAAGGAAUAACCCUGCAAUUGGUUAUGUUUUAUCUCAUUAUCUUAUUUCAUGAAUAUUUAGUUGAGAACUUGCUGUGUUCAAUGCCCAGUUCUGGGACCUGGAAAAGAGUAAUGAGCAUGAAGGGCAAGGACCCUAACUUUAUGAAAAUUUACAUUAUCUUUAGUUAUUUAUGUGUAUUUUUCUCUCUGUGUAACAAUUGUAAGAUUUCUGAAAGAGGGGAGCCACGACUUCUAUCUCUUGUGUGUAACCACAAAGUACCUUGCUGAGAUUAAGAUUCUCAGAAUUUUCAUAAUUAUUGCAUAUUAAUUUAUAUGUGUGGACAAAAUCUUUAUGACUAUGUAAGAUCUUUUGGUCUUAAAAUCCUCGAUAGUAGAAAUAUGAAAAUAUUAGUGAAUGGAUUUUGCGGGCUAGAGGACACUAGCUAGAAGGGUAUUGCAGUCACCCGGGUAGAGAAGACAAUUGCUGAACUAAGAGAAGGCAGUUGAGAGCAGAUCCCAUGGCAAGAUUAAAUGUGCAAGAACUUUAUAAGGGAAAUACGUGUGACAGAAAAUAGGGAGGGAGUGAGGAGAAGCUGAGAGAGCUGCCACUCUGCAAUGCAAGUCUGACCUCAAGUGAAGGAGAGAGUGAAGGGACAUUGGUGGAAAUGCCCUAGUUAGCUAUGCAGUCUAAAAAGAGUUCAGCAAGGCCAUCAAGGUGACUUCAAGCUAAAGUCAGCUGUCAGAGGAGUUUUAUGUCUCCCAGGAGUGGGCCUGACUUAGUGUAUGUGGAGCACUUAUCAUUUGCUGGGAGCAGCCCAUGGAAAGCAUGGACUCAGAAUAAACCUACACAGAUAUUUAGGGUUUUGGGCCAAGCUAUGCCAUCCUUUUGAGAUAAUUACAGUACUUUUUUAGAUACAGUUUCUGACUUGCUACUGGAUCCUACUAAAGACUGAGCACUUGAUCACAGGCCACCAAGUUAUCAUGAAGUAUGAGCUGCCCAUAAUAACUUCACUGUUCUUGACCCACCAAACCAUAAGGCUGGGCAUGCGUCACUGAACUUCAUCAUCAAGAAGAAGUGCGACAUAUGAAACCAGGCAUGAGCAGAUCCUGAAGACACAAGGAAGUUACAGAGAAAGUAGCCCAGAUUUUCAUGUCCCCUACUCUUGCUAGAUUGCCUUCUCUCUCAGCCUACACCUGUGACCUCAUGGGGAAUUUACUAUGACCAGUUGACUGAAGAAUAAAAAUGUCAGUUGUAGUUUAUAGAUAGUUAUGCAUGGUAUGUUGGCUGUCCAAAGUGAACAGCUGCAGCACUACAGCCCUACUCAGGGAUAACCCUAAAGGACAGUUGUGAAGGGAAAUCAUUCCAGUGGGCAGAACUUCAACCAGUGCAGCUACUUGUUCAUUUGCCUCAAAGAAAAGAUGGCCAGAGUACAGAUCUAUACUGAUUCAUGUCUAUUGGCUAAGAGUUUGGCUGGAUGGUCAAGAACUUGGAAAGAGCUUUAUUGGAAAAUUGGUGACCAUGAUAUUUAGUACAGCCAUACAAUUGAGUACUUCUCAGCAAUAAAAAAAAGAACAAACUACUGACCCAUGCAACAGCAUGGAUGAAUCCCAAAAUCAUUAUGCUAAGAAAAUCAUGCAGAAUAAAAAAGUGGCAUAUUAUAUGAUUCCAUUUGUAGGACAUCAUGGAAAAGGCAAAUUCUAGGGACAGAAAACUAAUCAGUCGUCACCAGGGGCUGGUGGAGAGAAGAGUUAACUACAAAGGGACAUGGGGAAAUUUGGGGGGAGAUAGAACUGUUCUAUAUCUUGCUUAUGGUGAAAGAUAACAACUAUAUGUGCUUGCAAAAUUAUUAACCUCUACAGUAAAAUGGGUAGAUUUUACUAAUUGGAAAAAACAACUACUGGAUGACUAUAUUAAUAUCUGACAAAGUAAACCUUACACAAAGAUUAUUACAAAAAAGGGGGAUGUUUCAUAAGAGUAGGUAUCAAUUCAUCAAGACAUAGUAACACUAUAUGCACAUGAGGCUAAUAACAGCUUCAAUACACAUGAAGUGAAAACUGAUUAAACUAAAAGAAAAAAUUUAGAAAUCCACAAUUACAGUAAAAAGUUUCAGUAUUCCUCCCUCAGUAACAGUUAUGAGAACAUGGCAAAAAAAAAUCUGUUAAAUGUAUAUAAAAGAAUUAAACAACCACUAUAAACCAAUCUUAUCUAAUUGAAAAUUUUUAGAACGCUAUCCUGACAACAACAGAAUAUAUAUUCUUUUGAAGUGUACAUGGAAUUGUCACUACAUAGACCCCUUUACAGGCCAUUUAAAAAUUCUAAAUAAGUUAAAAAAUUGAAAGCAUGUAGAGUUUAUUCUUAGGCUACAAUGGAAAUAAACUUGAAAUUAGUAAUAGACUAGUAACUAGAAAAGCACUAAAUAAUUGAAAAUUAAGCAACACACAUAUAAAUAAACCAUGGAUCAAAAUAGAAAUUAUAAUGGAAAUGAGAAAGUAUUUUGGACUGAAUGAAAUGAAGAAGCUACAAAUAAGAAUUUGUGGAAUGCAGCCAAAGUAGGUUUAGAUGAAAAUUUAUAACCUUGAAUGCUUAAAAUCAAUGAUCUAAGUUUCUACCUUGAGAAACUAAAAAAAUGAGACCACAUUAACCUCGAUAUGAGAAGAAGUUAAGAUAAAGAAAAAAAUUAAUAAAAUGGCAAACAGAAAAAAGAACUGAGAAAAUCAAUGAAGUCAAAAACUGGUUCUUUGAUGAGAUCAAUAAAGUUAAUGAACUUUGAGUCAAAGUGAUCGGGAAAAAGAGUAGACACAGUGACCUGACAUCAGCAUGAAAGAGAGGACAGAUCCUCCACGUCACUACAGAUCCUUCAAAACUUAAGGCUAGACUAAGGGAAUACUAUAAACAACUUUACACCAAUAAAUUUGACAACUUGAAUAAUGGACAAAUUUCUUUAACAACAAAACUACCAAAGAGAAGUCAAGAAAAAAAUAGAUAAUCUGAAUAGCUAUAUAUCAUCUAUUAAAGAAACUGAAUUCACAGUUAAAAAUCUUCCAACAAAGAAAACUUUAGGCUUUGCUGGUGAAUUUUAUCACAUUUUUAAAGGAGAAGUAAUGCCAUUUUUACACAAAUGCUUUCAGGAAAUUGAAGAAGGCUAGCAUUACCCUAAUGCAAAAAGUAAACAUACAUUACAAGAAAGGAAAUGACAGACAUCUUUCCCAUGAAUACACAUGCAAAUAUUUUUAACAAAAUUUCAACAAUCAUAUCCAACAUUAUCUAAAAUUAUGAUAUUGAAUGACUAUGAUGGUUAAUUUUAUGUGUCAGCUUGACUGGGCCACAGGAUGUCCAGAUAUCUGGUUAAAUAUUAUGUCUAAGUGUGUCUCCAGAAGAGAUUAGCACCUGAAUUGGAUGAGUAAAGCAGUUUGCCCUCCCCAGUGUGGGUGGGCAUCAUCUAACCUCUGGAAGGCUCAAAUCUAACAAAAAGGUGGAGGAAAGUUGGGAGAUUGAAUUCUCUCUCUCUGCCUGACUGGUUGAGCUGAAACAUCAGUCUUCUCCCGUGCUCAGCUGAGAUGUACACCAUCAGCCUUCUAACUCUAAGAACCGCUACCACCAGCUUUCCUGGGUCUCAGCUUGCAGACAGCAGAUCAUGGGAUUUCUCAGCCUACAAAAUUGUAUAAGGCAAUUCCUUUAAAUGAAAUAUAUACCUCCUAUUGGUUCUGUUUCUCUGGAGAACUCAUUAAUACACUGACCAAGUAGGGUUCAACCUAAGAAUAUUGGUUUAACAUUUUAAAACUUAUGCAAUUCACUGGGUUAAGAGAAUGAAAAAUAAAACAAUCAAAUGAUCUUAAAGAUGCAGAAAAAGCAUUUGACAAAAUUUAACACCAUUCAUGAUAAAAAAAAAACACUCAGAAAUAUGGGAAUAGAAUUAAACUUUCUAAAAAGGCCAUCUAUGAAAAACCUACAAUUAACAUCAUAUUUAAUGUAAUAUCAGGAACAAAGCAAUCUGUUCUCAUCACUUCUGUUCAGCAUUGUACUGGAAAACCCAGCUACUGCAAUAAGGCAAAACAAAAAUUCCAGAUUGGAAAGGAAGAAGCAAAACUCUUUUUAUUCACAGACAAUAUUGUAAUCUACUUAGAAAAUCUUAAGAAUUCUUUAAAAAGUUAAUAGAUCUAAUAAGUGCAUUUAGCAGAGUCUCAGAACACAAGGCCAAUAUACAAAAAUUAAUUGUAUUAUUGUGUAGUAGCAAGGAACAAAUGUCAAUGAAAUUUAAAACCAGUAUCACUUACAAUAAUAUCAAAAACAUCAUCCUAAGGGUAAAUAUAAUAAAGAAGUUCAAGAACUCUACCCUGGAAAUUAUAAAAUAUUGUUAAGGAAAUUAAAGACCUCAAUAAAUGGUGGUUUAUCACCAAGUUUGUGAAUUAGGCAACUCAAAAUUGUUAAGAUCUCAGUUCUCUUCAAUUUUUUUUAAAUUUUUUUUUUGGGAGGAAAAUUAGCCCUGAGCUAAGAUCUGCCACCAAUCCUCUUUUUGCUGAGGAAGACCGGCCCUGAGCUAACAUCCAUGCCCAUCUUCCUCUGCUUUACAUGUGGGGCACCUACCACAGCAUGGCUUGAAAGCAGUGCUCAGGUCUGCACCCAGGAUCUGAAGUGGCAAACCCUGGGCCCCCCAAGCAGAGCAUGCAAAUUCAACCACUGAGCCACUGGGCUGGCCCGAGUUGUCUUCAAUUUUUGCUCUAUCUAUUCAGUGCAAUGCAUACCAAAGUCAUAGUGGGUUUUUGUUGUUUAUUUUUGUUUGUUUUUUGUGGAAAUUCACAAGGUAGUUCUAAAAUCUAUAUACAAAGGCAAAGGAUGUAGAACAGCAAAAGCAACAUGAAAGAAGAUGAAAGCUGGAGAAUUUACAUUACCAGAUAUCAAGACUGACAGUACGUCUACAUAAUUAACACAGCAUGGAUUGACCCAAAUAUAGACCAAUACACCAGUGAGAUAGAAUGGAGAGGUCAGAAAUACCCACACAUAUACAAUCAUCUGAUUUAUAAUGAAGCCCGUUGAAAUUCACUGCCAGAGAGGAUGAUAUUUCUAUUAAAUAGUGCUAUGUCAAUUGUAUAUCCAUGUGGAAAAUAAUGAACUUUGACCCCUACCUCACCCCCCCCAACACACAGAGACAAAUGUGAUGAGUCAUGGAUAUAUAUCUCUCAGCUUCUAAAAUAAAACAGGAUAAUAUUUUCAUGACCUUGGGAUAGGCAAAUAUUUUUUUAAACAGGAUAAAAAAAUAACAAUCAUUAAUCAUAAUAUAAAUGAUCAGUACACUGGACUUCAUUAAAAUUAAGAAUUUGUAUUCACCAAAAAGCAAUGUUAAGAAAGUAAAAAGCAAGCACACCGCAGACUGGGAAAAGAUAUUUCAAAUACAUAAAGUACGUAAAGCUUUUUAGGAUUUCUAAAAAGUAACUUUCAAAUUAAUAAUAAAAAAAAGAUAAUUCAAAAGAAAUAUAUGCAAAGACUUGAAAAGACACUUCAUGAGGAAAGAUAUAAAAGUGGACAUUAAACAUGUGAAAAGAUUCUCAAUAUCAUUAGCCAUCAGAAAAAAAUACAAAUUAAAAUCACAAGAUGCCACUAUACAUCCAUAAUGGCUGAAAUUAAAAACUGGUGUCAGGUAUUGGUGAAAAUGUGGAUUAAAUGAAGCUCUCUUACAUUGAUUAUAGGAGUGUAACUUGAUACAAACAUUUUAGAAAACUUUUGGCAGUAUCUACUAAAACUAAAUACUCUUAUACCUAUAUCCAAGAAUGGAAUUGAGCAAUUCUAUUCUUGAAGACAUUCCCAACCAAGAUAAGUGCUUAUAUCCAAUAAAAGAUGUGGUCAAGAAUAUAGAAUCUUUAUUCAUAAUAUUCCCAAAUCAUAAAUGACCCAAAUUUCCAUCAGAAUAGCCGGAGGAAAUAAACUGUGGAAUGGUCAUUCAAUGGAAUACUACACAACAAUGUAAAAGAACCGACUACUGAUCCAUGCAACAACAGCCUGGAUAAUUCCCAACACCGUAAUGAUAAGUGAAGGAAGUCAAGCAAAUCUAACCCUAAUGUUUUGGUCAUAGCUGUCAGAAUAGUGGGUGCCCUUAUGUGGGGAGGGAUGAAAGGAAAAGACACAGGGUUGAAUAAAGUCAUCCGGGAAGCAAGAGUAGAUAGAGAAAGGGGAGAUCCUAAAAAAGUGUUGAUCAGGAGUAUUCAGUGAAGUCAGAGAUAAAGACCAUAGCACUUGUUUAUGCAAGACCAAUGCUGAAAAGUUCUUAAUAAAGGAGUGAUCAGUUCCAUCGUAAAAUCAGUGACAGAGAAUUAAACCCUAGGCUGGAGCAGGCGGACAUCCUUGGUGACCUUGAACUCCACAUGAGAGGUUUCAGUGGUGCUUGGGGAACUAAAGUAUAACUGGUGGGUUAAAGGCCAUGGAUGAAGAGAAUUGGACACAGACAAUAUGGAUCACGUUUUUUAUGAGUUUUUCUGUAAAGGGGAACAAAGAGAUGGAGAAGAAGCAGGAUGUAGAAUGGGAGGUCAAGGGACUUUCUUAUAAUAGAAAAUGUUAUAAGAUUAUCGCAGAGUCCAUUAAAAGGGAAAUUUUAAAGGUGUCUGGAGGGAGGGGAGGGGACAGUGUCAUGAGCAAAGUCCUUUUAGAGCUGUGGACCACAAUCCUGGUUGUUUCCAACUAAAGUAUUUUUCUGGUGGAAUCUUAUUUCUGUCACAAAUACAUGUGAUUCCUCUUGCCAUUGACUUAUUCUUGAAAUCUCAACCAUCCAAAUACCAUAGCCACUUUCAAUUUGUAAACUUUCUAAACAGCAUGUUUGAUGGAUUUUUCCUGACAUAGCAUCCGUCCAAUGGUGCAUGAUUGUCUUACAAACAGGAAUGGUGUACGCUGCUUCUGUUCCAUCCAGUGAUGAGGCAGCAAGAAGUGCCCUUUGACCGGAAAAACAUAUCAGAACACAAGGACCCCUGGACAACUACUGAAUUACCAAGCGGGAAAAUAUAUCAUUCCUUUAGAAAUGGAAAUUUCUAUUAGAAAAAUCCAGUGAGAGUUUUCUCUUGUUCUAUUCAGAACAAAUACAUAUAGCCAUAGAAUAAAUGGACUUUUUGAAUCCAAAAUUUAGCACCAUAGAUUUGUUAAUGUUAAAAACCACCUAAGAAUUUCUAGAUCUAUGGAGAAACAUGAACAUUGAACAUUACUGUUCAAAGAUGGAAUAGUUAUGAUUUCUGCUCACUUUUCUCUGUAAAAGUAAACUAAAUAGAUCACUUCUGGGUUCUUUUUUCCUUUUUGUCUCUACUGGGUUUUCUAUUCUCGUUAGUAGAGUGUUAAUUAUAUUAGAUUCCACUUAUAUAGUAUGUUUUAAUAAUUUUUACUCUCUGGUAAGCACUUCAGUGAAAAAGCAGUAAACAGUGUGCUCAGUUUAACAUUGCUAAAAAUGACCUUAAUGUUGAUAUUGCCUGGAUGUGUUAUUUGAACACAUAAUCUCUAUCUCGUGUAAUAUGUUUUUUGCUCAUAUUUUCUAUGACUUUAUUCACAUGUGUGUGUAAAGACUAAAAUCCAAUACUUACCCAUAUUCACUGACAAGCAGGAAGCAGGAGAGCAUCAGCCCUGAAGCUCAUUCUCAAAAGAAGUUCUUUGGCCUCAGUUUGCUGCCUUCAUGGGAGUUGUCAUUUGAAGCUGAGCUGAUGCUUGCGCACACGUUCGUUCUUUUGUUCUUAAAGCUGAUUGUUUGGAACUUAGAAAGAAGCAUUCGUGCCCAAAAGCCUUACUGUUGACAGGCAAACUACUACAUUGAGAAGAUAAGGGUCAGCACAACUAAAAUGUAUUCCUUAGAGACAUUUCCUGGAUGGUGGUGAGCUUUAGUGGGGACAUUUUCACUUUUGGAUGAAAAAACCAGGAAAGGAUUCCUUCGGCAUGAUUUCAGGUUUCUCGUGUCUUUUUAAUAUGAUGGGUUGUGACUUCUGCUUAUUUAUAGGUGACACAAUGGGGCAGGGUCCUAGGUUUUAAGCUGUAGCCUAACAACAGUGUUGUCAUAUAAUAAUUUGGGGGUCCAAUUGAUACUUAGCUUGUUUAUUAUAUUUACAUUCUUCCCAUAAUAUAUUUUGCUGACAAUCAUAACAUUCCUUAUUGUAGCACAAUAAUUUAUAUUCAGCAGACAUAAUUUUAAAAUAGAUAUAAUUCAAUAAGUUUUAUUCAACACCCAUAUUUGUGUAAUCCAUACACACAAGUGAUGAGAUUUGCAUUGGGAGACCUUCUAUAAUUUCUAUUUUUCUCAUGUUCAUUUUUUUUUUGCCUCAAAAUAGAGAAUUUGACUCCAAAGACAUGAUGUUACUCCAAAUUAAAUGUUAAAUGAUACAUAAUUAUAUUUGUAUUUAUCUUAUAAAUUAAAGUUAUAUUCUUGGCAACAGGAACCGGGGAGUUGGCUGGUGGAAAGAAAUAACAAAUUCUUCCUUCCUUUGUUUUGUCUGAAUUCCUUCCUUCCUCUGUCAAAAAUCACAAUGCACUCUUCAAAAGGAACACACCAUGAGUCAGAGAGCUCCUGACUCUCCUGCUUUCGUUCUGUGUAUACCAGCGUCAGCAAAUGACACAGUUCAAUGCUAGGGCUCUGCUUGCUUGUCUAUUAACCUAACUGACAGUGCCUGUGACACAUGUCAAGAUGACUCCCCUCUGAACAGCUCAGAUUUGAGCCAGUCGAAAAGGGUGGGGGAGGGAAAACCUAGUCACUCUUGCUCCUUCAUCUCCAGGAGAAUAAAGUGCCAGCUUGACUGUUUGCUAUCAUGUCAAAAAGUCAAGACGAAAUUAUUUGCAAGAAACAUAUAUGCAAGGAGAGGAACUUCCCAGGGUGGACAAUAGGAGCUGGGAGAGAGCGUGUUACUAAGGGCCUCCAAUGUGGUCUUAGGAUCAGGAUACAGCUGUGUGACUGAUCAACAAAGGAAUUUUCAAAAAGUUCCUGGACAGUGAUGAAUAAAAUUAUUCAUCUAAAGGCAGGUGCAUUAAAAAGGAGAAAUACUGUUAACUCCUAAUAUGGAGAAGAAAUAUAAGGGUCCAAGACAAUGAGAGCAAGAGAGUUACAGAAAACCAGCUCAGAUCUGCAUGGCAAUGCUGAUAAAUUAGUAAUACAGCCUCAGGCUUUUUGCCAAGAAAAGUGCCAGCACCAUGGCUCAAAUUGUCAUGAGGCACGUUUAGUAGUGUGUCAGAAAAGUCAAAUUUCACUCUCCUUAUCUGGCAGAGAACAAGAAUAUAUAUAUAUUUAAAAUGCCCCAUUGCAUUCUAGCCCAUACGUUACGU